AGCAGCCGCGGUAAUUCCAGCUCCAAUAGCGUAUAUUAAAGUUGUUGCAGUUAAAAAGCUCGUAGUUGAAUUUCGGGAUCAGUACGCUGGUCGUGCCUUGUGUAUGUACUGGUGUUACUGGUUCCUACCUUCUGACGAACCGUCAUGUCAUUAAUUUGGUGUGGCGGGGAAUCAGGACUGUUACUUUGAAAAAAUUAGAGUGUUUAAAGCAGGCUCGCGCUUGAAUACAUUAGCAUGGAAUAAUGAAAUAGGACGUUUGAUCCUAUUUUGUUGGUUUCUAGGAUUGACGUAAUGAUUAAUAGGGAUAGUUGGGGGCAUUAGUAUUCAAUUGUCAGAGGUGAAAUUCUUGGAUUUAUUGAAGACUAACUACUGCGAAAGCAUUUGCCAAGGAUGUUUUCAUUAAUCAAGAACGAAAGUUAGGGGAUCGAAGACGAUCAGAUACCGUCGUAG
rnacentral:rRNA from 1 species